ensembl:misc_RNA Metazoa_SRP Metazoan signal recognition particle RNA
GCCAGGCGUGGUGGUGCACACCUGUAAUCCCAGCUACUUGGGAGGCUGAGACAGGAGAAUCUCUUGAACCCAGGAGGCAGAGGUUGUAGUGAGCUGAGAUCACGCCACUGCACUCCAGCCUGGGUGACAGAGUGAGACUCUGUCUCAA